CGACCCCUGGCAAAUCGUUAAUCAACCCCUAGAGGGGUCACGACCCACAGGUUGAGAACCCCUGGUAUAAAUAGACUUCUUAUUUCACUGAUAUGGUUUUUUUUAGGAAUGAGAGUUGUUCUUGAUAAAACAAACUAUUAACCAAGCAUCUAGUCUCUCUGAAAAUAGUUGAUUCUAAAACAAGCAAAGAAACUAAACAUUUUUAAUUUUGAUAUGAAUGAAUUGAAUGCUUCUUUUUAAACAUUCAUUUUUAUAAAUAAUAAAUACAUGAAAAGUGUUCAUGAAUUGUUUCGUGCCAUUUGGGACGCAAAAUCUGUAUACUAUACAAUAACAACAUGGCUAGUAUAUACAGUUUUUAAUUUAUUCAUAGAUGCAAAACAUUUCUCCGCAAAAAAAAUAAUAAUAAUAAUUUGGCGAAAUAAUUAUUAAACAUUUGUCAUUGACAAAAUGCUGCAGAAAAAUAUGAACAGGAAUGUAGGUGAGUCAAAUGUUUAAUCAAAGGCGUUUAGAUGACAUACUUUCAUUGUGUCCAACAAGUUCAACAACCUAAGUAUCCCUCCCGACAGCAUUUUUUCCUAAUGCCUCUAUAUUUAUACAAGAUGCAACAAAUGUACACACACAAAUGUACACACACAAAUAUACAAACUAGUGUCUCAAAAAAAAAAAAAGGAAAGGUUGUUUUUUCAACUCAAAUUCUCAAAGAGAGGUCAUAAGAAUUCAUUUGAAGACGUACAGCAGAAGUGAAUUUUUCAUUUCACAACUGAUCCCAAUUUGGGCAAGAGUUACAUGUUCGACAACAGUACACACUGGAGAGUAUUAGAUCAUGAAGAAAAUAACAACAGAAAUACAUAAAAGGACUACACAAAUUUCUUACAAAAUAUUGAGCACUGCAUAGAUUUAAUUACUAGUCAAGAUGUUUUCACAUUAUUAUCAUCUGGGGUAAGUACUAUUAUUUUAUUUGCAUUUGACAAAUUGGUAUCAGAAGAAAAAAAAAAUCAGCCACCAAAGACUAAAACAAAUGUUUCAAAAUGUUGAAAAACCGCAUUGAAAUAUUUGAUUCCCAAAAAGAGUACAAUUAUGAAAUGUAAGAAAGAAAUUUGAAAGGUAGUCAGACAUUUUGCAAAUACAUGACAUUGAGGUUGUUUUAUUUUCAUGCAACUUAUAUUAAAAAACACUAUUAGUUUAGUUUAUAGAGACAAAGAGCAGGCACCAAAAUACAAGAAAAAAA
rnacentral:sRNA from 1 species